rnacentral:rRNA from 1 species
UACGUAGGGUGCAAGCGUUGUCCGGAAUUAUUGGGCGUAAAGAGCUCGUAGGCGGCUUGUCACGUCGGCUGUGAAAACCCGGGGCUCAACCCCGGGCCUGCAGUCGAUACGGGCUAGCUAGAGUUCGGCAGGGGAGACUGGAAUUCCUGGUGUAGCGGUGAAAUGCGCAGAUAUCAGGAGGAACACCGAUGGCGAAGGCAGGUCUCUGGGCCACUACUGACGCUGAGAAGCGAAAGCAUGGGGAGCGAACAGG